GGGACACAAACUCAAGAACAAGCUCACAAUUAAAAGUUAAAAUCUAGGACCCUCUGGUGGACACUUAGCUGAUUCAAACUGAAGCAUAAGUCUGGGGCUUGCAUCUAUUGCAUUCAUGGAUCCACAUAGGGUGUAUGCCCAGUGCCUGCUCUUAGCCCGAUCAUUUCGCUUGUUCCAGUUAGCAGCACCAUUCUGCUUCCUUGGAUUGAUGUGACAGAGUGGGAGAAAGGCACAUUGCCUUGGCUGCUGCUGUCCUGCCUUGAUUGAGCUCCCUGUGCUAAAGGGAUUUUGAGCUGAGCCCAGUUUUCUUGAUGAUAUGGUUUCAGUCAUUUGUCAUAAGAUCAUUCCAACGAAGCUGUUGACUAACUUGAAUACUUAAUUACUGAAGGAGAGAGGCUGCAUGUGUGUGAAUCUCCAGUCCUUUCUACUGGGUUAUCUGUCAGGACUGACCACUUCUGGGUAGUUUAUGCAUUACAGUGUUGAAUUAUAGAUAGAUAGAUAGAUAGAUAGAUAGAUAGAUAGAUAGAUAGAUAGAUAGAUAGAUGAUUGAUAGGUAGGUAGAAAAAUGCAUAAGUAGAUAAAUAGAUAAAAUGAAGAGAGCCAUGCAACAUCCAUACUACCCUGAAGCAUAAUAAACAAACAAACAAACAAACAAACAAACAAAGCCACCAUUUCAUCUACACAUUCUUCAGUGAGCAAAGACUGCUUCCUUUGAGAUCAUGGCUGCCUUUUCUUUGAACAGAAAUCGAUGGCACUCAGGCAAUUGCAGCCAUGAAGGCUUCUCUGCAGUGGUUUCUAACCUGACACUCACCUGAUUUCUUUGGGUCAGCUCUGCGGGGAUGCCUUGCUGAUGUUCUCUCAUCUUUGUAGCCUUGAUCCAAAUUGCAUUAGUGGCAUUUGAUAUAAUUGUCUCACAGAAAAGUUUAGCUAAAUGGACCAUAAAUGUAUUGUGGAUGCAGAAUCAUCUUAGGGUCAUUUGUUUGAAUGUCACAGUGGAGAGUUUAGGGGUCUAUGUCCUUCUUCCCUGGGGACUGACUGCAUCCUUCCCAGAACAUGUUUACCACUUCAGCCCCUUCUCAUUUUGAGAAAAAUUAAGACAUGCAUCUUGUCUUCAUUCCUCCUGCCCACCAUUGCCCACCAUUGAUUCACAUAAAACAUUUUUGUGUGAUAACUGGCCUCAACUAACACACUAGCACUUGCCAUUUGUGACAUCCUGUUGAAUAUUUAAGGAGAUGGAGAGAGAGAGAGAGAGAGAGAGAGAGAGAGAGAGAGAGAGGAAAAAUAUGUUUUCAUGCAAAGAUAACCUGUCAGAAUGCCUUAAAUAUUUACUGUGGUUUUGAUAUUUCAUUUAUCUCAGUCACAGGGCAUAUGUAUCAGUUCAAAUUUUCAUGGUAGUAUACUGAGGCACUUCCCCUAUACCACUAUUCCUAUUACUAGAUAAUUCUUUUUUAUUAAGAAUCAGCUGCUCAACAUGCCCUCUGCACUGAGCAUCACUGCCCUCUCCUCCCUUCUCCUAACUCUUGGCCUUCUUCAGAGAUGUAAUCCUUAAAGCCAUCUGGAUUCUUUCAAAACUGCCAAAGGGGCAAUUGACCUUUGGAGGAGGGAUGGCUUGAACCUGCGGCUGGUGCACUCUGGGCACUCCAAGAAAUCCUCCAUAGUGAGACCCAGAGGGGUAAUGUGCAGCAUGUUUCAGACUGUGAACGGGGGCUAGGCAGAGCCCACUUCUGCACCAAACUACCUUGUAAAGGACACUGUACAGGGAGGCCCCACAGGAGCUUCCACCCAGGACCUCUGCCUUCAGCUAGCCUCCUUAAAGCUUCUCCAGUGUGACAUGUUUUUAUCCUCAUAACCAUAACCUUUAAAACUGAAGCUUCUGCAAGGAUUAAGUAAAACAAAAUAUAUUGACAUCUCCAUAUACAUUUUAUUUAGUAAUUAUGUCACAGAGCAAUUACUACCUUGAAUUAUCUAUCCUACACAUGGUUCAAAAGACUUCCUUCAGGGGCUUGUAGAUGGUUCAAUAAGUAAAACAUUUGCUGCACUGGUGUGAGUAUUUGAAUUCAGAUUCCAGACUCUAUGUAUAAUCAGAUGAAGAGGUGGACAUCUGUAAUUCCAUUGCAAUAUGGGAGUUGGAGAUAUAAAUAUCAUUACAAACUGUGGGUCAUCUAACUUUGCAUAAACAGCAGAAUACAACAAAGGGCCCUCUCUUAUACAAUGUAUAAGGCAAGGUAUAAAGCAUCCAAGGUUAUCCUGUGACCUGUAUGCCUGGGCACAUGUGCCCACAUUCACUC
rnacentral:lncRNA from 1 species